UAGAGUUUGAUCAUGGCUCAGGAUGAACGCUAGCGACAGGCUUAACACAUGCAAGUCGAGGGGCAGCGGGGAGGUAGCAAUACUUCCGCCGGCGACCGGCGCACGGGUGAGUAACACGUAUGGAACCUGCCCGUAGCAGGGGGAUAAACGGAAGAAAUUCCGUCUAAUACCGCGUAAUAACUCCGAGAGGCAUCUCAUGGAGUUUAAAGGGUAACACCGGCUACGGAUGGCCAUGCGGCGCAUUAGCUAGUUGGCGGGGUAACGGCCCACCAAGGCGACGAUGCGUAGGGGUUCUGAGAGGAAGGUCCCCCACACUGGUACUGAGACACGGACCAGACUCCUACGGGAGGCAGCAGUGAGGAAUAUUGGUCAAUGGGCGCGAGCCUGAACCAGCCAAGUCGCGUGAGGGAAGACGGUCCUAUGGAUUGUAAACCUCUUUUGUCGGGGAGCAAAAGACGCCACGUGUGGCGUUCCGAGAGUACCCGAAGAAAAAGCAUCGGCUAACUCCGUGCCAGCAGCCGCGGUAAUACGGAGGAUGCGAGCGUUAUCCGGAUUUAUUGGGUUUAAAGGGUGCGCAGGCGGAAGAUCAAGUCAGCGGUAAAAUUGAGAGGCUCAACCUCUUCGAGCCGUUGAAACUGGUUUUCUUGAGUGAGCGAGAAGUAUGCGGAAUGCGUGGUGUAGCGGUGAAAUGCAUAGAUAUCACGCAGAACUCCGAUUGCGAAGGCAGCAUACCGGCGCUCAACUGACGCUCAUGCACGAAAGUGUGGGUAUCGAACAGGAUUAGAUACCCUGGUAGUCCACACAGUAAACGAUGAAUACUAAUUGUUCGGGGAGAAUGAUCCCUGAGUGAUACAGCGAAAGCGUUAAGUAUUCCACCUGGGGAGUACGCCGGCAACGGUGAAACUCAAAGGAAUUGACGGGGGCCCGCACAAGCGGAGGAACAUGUGGUUUAAUUCGAUGAUACGCGAGGAACCUUACCCGGGCUCAAACGACACAGGAAUACUUUUGAAAGGAGGUAGCUCUACGGAGUCUGUGUCGAGGUGCUGCAUGGUUGUCGUCAGCUCGUGCCGUGAGGUGUCGGCUUAAGUGCCAUAACGAGCGCAACCCCCAUCGCCAGUUACCAGCAAGUCAAGUUGGGGACUCUGGCGAGACUGCCGGCGCAAGCUGUGAGGAAGGCGGGGAUGACGUCAAAUCAGCACGGCCCUUACGUCCGGGGCGACACACGUGUUACAAUGGCAGGUACAGAGAGAAGCAAUGCGGCGACGCAAAGCGGAACUUGAAAGCCUGUCUCAGUUCGGAUUGGAGUCUGCAACUCGACUCCAUGAAGCUGGAUUCGCUAGUAAUCGCGCAUCAGCCAUGGCGCGGUGAAUACGUUCUCGGGCCUUGUACACACCGCCCGUCAAGCCAUGGAAGCCGGGAGUGCCUGAAGUGUGCAACCGCAAGGAGCGCCCUAAGGUAAAACUGGUGACUGGGGCUAAGUCGUAAUCAAGGUAACCGUA
rnacentral:rRNA from 1 species